AGUGAACGCUGGCGGUAGGCCUAACACAUGCAAGUCGAACGGCAGCACAGUAAGAGCUUGCUCUUACGGGUGGCGAGUGGCGGACGGGUGAGGAAUACAUCGGAAUCUACUUUUUCGUGGGGGGUAACGUAGGGAAACUUACGCUAAUACCGCAUACGCCCUACGGGUGAAAGCGGGGGAUCUUCGGACCUUGCGCGAUUGAAUGAGCCGAUGUCGGAUUAGCUAGUUGGCGGGGUAAAGGCCCACCAAGGCGACGAUCGGUAGCUGGUGUGAGAGGAGGAUCGGCGACACUGGAAGUGGGACAGGGUCCAGAGGACUGCGGGAGGGAGCAGUGGGGAAUAGUGGGCAACGGGGGGGAGCCUUAUCCAGUCAUACCGAGUGUGAGAAGAAGGCGUUCGGGUUGUGAAGACCGUUUGUUGGGAAAGAAAAGCAUCAGGUUAGUACGCCGCGGUACUGACGGUACCCGAAGAAUAAGCACCGGCUAACUUCGUG
rnacentral:rRNA from 1 species